GACGAACGCUGGCGGCGUGCUUAACACAUGCAAGUCGAACGGAAAGGCCCUGCUCUUGUGGGGUGCUCGAUUGGCGAACGGGUGAGUAACACGUGAGUAACCUGCCCUUGUCUUUGGGAUAACUUCAGGAAACUGGGGCUAAUACCGGAUAGGAGCUCCUGCUGCAUGGUGGGGGUUGGAAAGUUUCGGCGGUUGGGGAUGGACUCGCGGCUUAUCAGCUUGUUGGUGGGGUAGUGGCUUACCAAGGCUUUGACGGGUAGGCGGCCUGAGAGGGUUACCGGCCACAUUGGGACUGAGAGACGGCCCAGACGCCUACGGGAGGCAGCAGUGGGGAAUAUUGCACAAUGGGCGGAAGCCUGAUGCAGCAACGCCGCGUGCGGGAUGACGGCCUUCGGGUUGUAAACCGCUGUCGCCUGUGACGAAGCGUGAGUGACGGUAAUGGGUAAAGAAGCACCGGCUAACUACGUG
rnacentral:rRNA from 1 species